GUGGGGUAGUGGCCCACCAAGGCGACGACGGGUAGCCGGCCUGAGAGGGCGACCGGCCACACUGGGACUGAGACACGGCCCAGACUCCUACGGGAGGCAGCAGUGGGGAAUAUUGCUCAGUGGGCGCAAGCCUGAAGCAGCGACGCCGCGUGAGGGAUGAAGGCCUUCGGGUUGUAAACCUCUUUCAGCAGGGACGAAGCCGCAAGGUGACGGUACCUGCAGAAGAAGCACCGGCCAACUACGUGCCAGCAGCCGCGGUAAUACGUAGGGUGCAAGCGUUGUCCGGAAUUAUUGGGCGUAAAGAGCUCGUAGGCGGUUUGUCACGUCGGCUGUGAAAUCCCGAGGCUCAACCUCGGGUCUGCAGUCGAUACGGGCAGACUAGAGUACUGCAGGGGAGACUGGAAUUCCUGGUGUAGCGGUGGAAUGCGCAGAUAUCAGGAGGAACACCGGUGGCGAAGGCGGGUCUCUGGGCAGUAACUGACGCUGAGGAGCGAAAGCGUGGGGAGCGAACAGGAUUAGAUACCCUGGUAGUCCACGCCGUAAACGGUGGGCGCUAGGUGUGGGGACCAUUCCACGGUCUCUGUGCCGCAGCUAACGCAUUAAGCG
rnacentral:rRNA from 1 species